rnacentral:rRNA from 1 species
GUGGAUUAGAUACCCUUGUAGUCCACGCCGUAAACAAUGUUCACUAGGUGUUGGGGGUAUUGACCCCCUCAGUGCCGGAGCUAACGCAUUAAGUGAACCGCCUGGGGAGUACGGUCGCAAGACUAAAACUCAAAGGAAUUGACGGGGGCCCGCACAAGCGGUGGAGCAUGUGGUUUAAUUCGAUGCAACGCGAAGAACCUUACCUGGGCUUGACAUCCACGGAACCUACUGGAAACAGUGGGGUGCCCUUCGGGGAGCCGUGAGACAGGUGCUGCAUGGCUGUCGACAACU